GGGCCUGUAGCUCAGUUGGUUAGAGCGGUCCGCUCAUAACGGAUUGGUCGCUGGUUCAAGUCCGGCCAGGCCCACCA
rnacentral:tRNA from 1 species